GAGAGCGGCCGACUCCCCGCCCCGCCACUUCCGGUCUCGCCCCCCGGAGCCGGUGCGGCUGUGAGGGGCUGCGUUUCGCCGCCGCCGGCCGGCCGGGCAUGGUGUUGGGCGCCGGGCCCGCCUCGCCUGUCUCGGGGUGCCCAGGAUAAAGGUAGCAGUGAUGCUGACGCUGGCAAGCAAACUGAAGCGGGAUGACGGUCUCAAAGGGUCCCCGGCGUCAGCCACAGCCUCCGACUCCACUCGGCGGGUUUCUGUGAGAGACAGGCUGCUUGUCAAAGAGGUUGCAGAACUUGAAGCUAAUUUACCUUGUACGUGCAAAGUGUAUUUUCCUGAUCCAAACAAGCUUCAUUGCUUUCAGCUAACUGUCACCCCAGAUGAGGGUUACUACCAGGGUGGAAAAUUUCAGUUUGAAACUGAAGUUCCUGAUGCGUACAACAUGGUGGUGACGAGGACAUCUCUGCAGCUGUGUCAGCGGCCUUCUCUGGCCUGUCGACUAGGAAAGAAAAACCUGAUGGUCUUUGUCAAUCCAGCCAGCCAGCCACCCGCUGAGACUCCCCCUGUUUCCCUGAUCACCAGCAGGGGAACCUGGCCUGACAGGGCACUCCACUCCCUCAGAUUGGUAUCAAAGAUAAAAAUUUGAUGACGAAGAUUUCGUAUCUGUGAGAUGACCUGUCUGGUGAGAUUCUGUGGGAAGACUGUCAAGCUCCUCAAAGCAAGGCCACCUCGCAGUGGAACUGGGCCUGGGGAAGAGGCCCACCCACUGCAGGUGGGGUGGGCUCGCGGCCUUUCUGGAGGCAAGGGCACUUGGCGCUGAAUCCGCAGCCUGCUCUCUGGCCAGCCCCUCCCCUUCCUGGCCUUCAUCCUGGGGAAAUAUUUCAUAUGGAUGCGAAUGAAGACAACGUUGAUUUAGCAGCCUCCUAAAGUGAAGUGCUUGACCAGGAUCUGGCACCCCAAUAUCACAGAGACAGGCGAGAUAUGUCUCAG